rnacentral:rRNA from 1 species
UCAGUGAAAUUGAACUCGCUGUGAAGAUGCAGUGUACCCGCGGCAAGACGGAAAGACCCCGUGAACCUUUACUAUAGCUUGACACUGAACAUUGAGCCUUGAUGUGUAGGAUAGGUGGGAGGCUUUGAAGUGUGGACGCCAGUCUGCAUGGAGCCGACCUUGAAAUACCACCCUUUAAUGUUUGAUGUUCUAACGUUGACCCGUAAUCCGGGUUGCGGACAGUGUCUGGUGGGUAGUUUGACUGGGGCGGUCUCCUCCUAAAGAGUAACGGAGGAGCACGAAGGUUGGCUAAUCCUGGUCGGACAUCAGGAGGUUAGUGCAAUGGCAUAAGCCAGCUUGACUGCGAGCGUGACGGCGCGAGCAGGUGCGAAAGCAGGUCAUAGUGAUCCGGUGGUUCUGAAUGGAAGGGCCAUCGCUCAACGGAUAAAAGGUACUCCGGGGAUAACAGGCUGAUACCGCCCAAGAGUUCAUAUCGACGGCGGUGUUUGGCACCUCGAUGUCGGCUCAUCACAUCCUGGGGCUGAAGUAGGUCCCAAGGGUAUGGCUGUUCGCCAUUUAAAGUGGUACGCGAGCUGGGUUUAGAACGUCGUGAGACAGUUCGGUCCCUAUCUGCCGUGGGCGCUGGAGAACUGAGGGGGGCUGCUCCUAGUACGAGAGGACCGGAGUGGACGCAUCACUGGUGUUCGGGUUGUCAUGCCAAUGGCACUGCCCGGUAGCUAAAUGCGGAAGAGAUAAGUGCUGAAAGCAUCUAAGCACGAAACUUGCCCCGAGAUGAGUUCUCCCUGACUCCUUGAGAGUCCUGAAGGAACGUUGAAGACGACGACGUUGAUAGGCCGGGUGUGUAAGCGCAGCGAUGCGUUGAGCUAACCGGUACUAAUGAACCGUGAGGCUUAACCUUACAACGCCGAAGCUGUU